CAGCCGCCGCGGUAAUACGAAGGGGGCUAGCGUUGUUCGGAUUUACUGGGCGUAAAGGGCGCGUAGGCGGACUGAUAAGUCAGGGGUGAAAUCCCAAGGCUCAACCUUGGAACUGCCUUUGAUACUGUUUGUCUUGAGUUCGAGAGAGGUAAGUGGAACUGCGAGUGUAGAGGUGAAAUUCGUAGAUAUUCGCAAGAACACCAGUGGCGAAGGCGGCUUACUGGCUCGAAACUGACGCUGAGGCGCGAAAGCGUGGGGAGCAAACAGGAUUAGAUACCCGCGUAGUCCCUGUCUCUUAUAC
rnacentral:rRNA from 1 species